AAUUCUUAAACCGGUCUGGAAUAUAGAUAAUUAUAAGAUAGAUCAUAGAUCCGGGCUCUAUACGGAUCCAUGUAUGGAAGAUUAAAAAUUUUCUAUAACAGAAGCCUGUUCCGAAUAGCAGCAAAUCACCGAUCUGCGCAGCACUCCAAUUCAACUAUUUGUUAUUGCGAUGCGAUUGUUGGCAAUUGAUUGAGAAAUCCUAAUUCGAUUCCUCUUUAAUGUGAUCUUGUGUGUGGGUUUGUUGAUUGAUUUUGGGUGGUUUGGUUUUUUAUGAACUAAAGUUACUUUGUAAUUCAUUUAAAAAGAUUUUGAGUCUUGGAGUAAUCUAUUGUCUGAGCUGAUAAGUGGUGUGCUAUAUUUUUUUGUCUGUAGGUGUGAAUUUGAGGUCAUCUGAUCUUGAACUAGAGAUUAUGCAAUAUGACCCAAGCGUGUAUUCUAUGACUUAAAGCUGGAUAUGUUAUCUAUAGAUGACUUGUGCUCAUUUGUAAUUUAUGGAGCUCUGUCAACGAUGAAUCAUGCACGAAACCUGUUUUAGACUGUUCAAAUUAAAUGUUUUCAUCUACGAUCAUCUCCGAACUUAAAUACACUAUAUCUUGGUUCACACAGUUAGUCAUAAAUUUCUUAAUUUCUCCUAAGAAGAAAAUGGUGUAAGGUGUAAAUAUGAAUGGAGAUGAGUGGUUGACAUCAUUGUCAAGAGCUUCAGUGGCAAGGUUGGCGGAAACAGACAAAGAUUUACAAGAUAAAGGUUCUGUGGUAUUCCUCUUGCCUUAAUUAUUGUGGUACACUGGUUUUUUUGCAUAUCAUCUUCUUUUGUUUUCUUGUGGUUAAGUCGACCUCGUGUAAUUUAACAAAGUGCUUAAAGUUUCAGCAAGAACGUUGGCAACAACUGUCUCCUUUGUAAUAAUAGGCGGGUAUGUGGUAACGAUGGUCUCCGUUGGUGAUUCUCGUUGCAUAAUAGAAAUAAUUAUAUAUUCUUUGUCGGAAGAUCAUAGAUUGAAAUGCAAUGAAGAGGAGAGAGAUCGUAUAACAGCAAGAAGUGGAGAGGUUGGAAGGCUUAAUAUUGUUGGUGGUGCACAUGUACUUGUAUUUUCUGAGAAGUUCAAACGGAUUUUGGUUCGAAGUUUAUUUGCUGACUUUGUGGGACUCACCUGCUCUAGUUUAAUACAAUAUUUCUCGUACUAUAUCAUGGAUGCUCUGGUUUAAAGGCACAAAUUUGGAAAAUGAUAGUAAAAUUAGACGGAUCAAUUUGAAUAUUGUGUGGCUUUCGAAAUCUUUGGAUCAAAAAUAUUUUUUCUCCUAUCUGUUUGAUAAAACAGUGCAUUACUUUUUUUUUAUCUUAGAUACAUGCUAAAAUGUGAGAUAUGCAGCUUUUAUAGUCAUGGAGGAUCAAUGCAGUAACGAACACGAGAAUUAUCUUGUAAUAAGUACAACACAGAGAGUUAUGGUUUGUUACCAAUUGGUUUCAUCUGUGAUUUUUCAAUGUGGUUGAGACUCAAAACUUGAUUUUGGUAGUGAACUUUAAUUAAUUGCUCAAUCUGUAGACCAGAUGCCCUACUGCUUAUCAAGUACGAAACCUGUUUUAGACACAUACAUGAGGGUACAUAUACCGUCGGGUACAAAAGGAGGUCAAGGACAUGCGGGAUUCCUCCCUCCACCUACCCAGAUACCAAGCUGAUUGUCUUUAUUAAAAUCACAUAUCCAUACUAUGUUGAAAGUUCUUAGCAGCAUUAGUAUAUGGAGUUCUUUUUCCGCAACUUCUUAAGUGCUCCUAAUGUUGUGCUCUUUCUAAAUGCAAAUCAUGCACGAAUCGUUGUUCUUGCUUCAAAUGUACCUCUUUUUCUUGAUUUAAAUGUCCUACUCUGAAGUGGUGUAGUUGUUUCAGCUGUAAAAUGAUAUGUUGUAAUCCAUGUGCAUGCCUAUCUUAUAGA